AGGCGAAACCGGGGAGACCCGGUCGGCCGGGAGGGGUUCCCGGUCCUGACGAUGCCACCCACU
rnacentral:hammerhead_ribozyme from 1 species